rnacentral:rRNA from 1 species
GAUGAACGCUAGCGGCAGGCCUAACACAUGCAAGUCGAGGGGCAGCACGAUUGAGCUUGCUUAACUGGUGGCGACCGGCGCACGGGUGCGUAACGCGUAUGCAACCUACCUUAUACUGGGGUAUAGCCCGAAGAAAUUCGGAUUAAUCCCCCAUAGCAUUAUCGAUUCGCAUGUUUUGAUAAUUAAAGGUUACGGUAUAA